rnacentral:lncRNA from 1 species
CUCAGGAGGCUGAGGCAAGAGGAUUGCAAGUUCAAAGCCAGCCUCAGCAACUUAGCGAGGACCUAAGCAACUCAGCAAGACCCUGUCUCUAAGUAAAAUAGAAAGAGGGAUAUCAGGGGUCUGGGUUCAAUCCCUGGUACCAGAAAAAGAAAACAAAGUCACAGCCAGGCACAGUGGCUGACAGAACUUUGGAAGCUGAGACAGGAGGCUGUCUUGCUGCCCCCAACCUGUGCGGGCAGCUGAACUUAAGGUCGCUUGUGUGAAUUUCCAGGCACACCAAAUGAAACACAGACACACACUUUACCUUUAAACAAGCUUCGGGACAGCUUCUUCACUCUUGGCCUCAGGCUUCUCAAAUGGGAGAGCAAGAGAAAGUCAUGAGCACGGUUGGAAGUGGGCUUUUAUUGGUGGGGGACCCUUAUUCUUAGAAAGUUCCAUCCAAAAAAGUCAGAAGGGGCAGGGUUAUAAAGGUCAGGUGAGUAUAAUUCGACCCAAGGGGCUAUGGGAUGACACACCUAUCUCUGAAGAUGUGCCCUCAAACUUCCUGGACCAGGGCAAUGUCCAUGUCACUACAAAGCCUCUCCACUCCAGGAUGGAAGGCGUGAAUCAUUCAGAGUGGCUCCCACAAUCUCUAGUUUGAGGCCAGCCUGCGCAACUUAGCGUGACCCUUUCUUAAAAUUUAAAAAGCCUGGGUGUGUAGCUCCGUGGUAGAGCAUACCUGGGUACGGUUCACAGUAAGACUCAGUAUUUACUGACUACCGUGUUUCAGACUACAAGAGCACUACUCACUAGCCAAUAACUGGGCAGCCAGUUUUCCUUGAUCCUUCUAAAAUGCCCGUUUUCAUUAUAUUUAAGUCCAAGCUAUGACCUCCCAAAGUUACCUGUGAUCAGCAGAGAAGAGCCUUUGAACCACUGAGGCAAAGAGAUGAAACACUGAGUUCUCUGCUCUUCCCUCAGAAGACCCUCUGAAACUCACUUGGAGUAGGUCCUGUCAGACCGGUUCAACUCGGACACUGUUCAGCAUUGGAGGACAGAUAAGGACUGAGCUAAUAUACACUUGCCUGGGCUUUCUGUGGUGAAAGGGGAGAGCUAACAUGCAGACUAGGGGAGCUGAGGCUGCUGAACUUGUGGGGCAUGGUGGCAGAGAGGAGGAAGUUGGCCAAGAAAGAUAUCUGGGAAUCAGCAGAUGAGCCCCCUGGGGUUUUGUCGGAAUGCCUAUUUGUUCACGCAGCCCUUAUGGAGGCCAAGAACACCUUCAAGGGAGGAAGCGCUGCUGAGAAGCUACAGGGUGAACAGCUAGAACUCUCAAG